rnacentral:lncRNA from 1 species
GUCCCUCUCUUCAAGCGCCCGGUCCCUCUCCUUUACUGCAUUACCUUGAGCUAGCAGAGCCAUUCUCAGUCUUCUCCUCGGGACCUCGUCACUAAGCCCUUCAGCCACAUUGACUAGCACAUCCAAUUUUGAAACACGAGUUUCAACAUCAGCUGGGGAAGAGGCUGGCACAGCAGAACCAGAAUGUUUUCCUGAAAGCCAAUAGGAUCAACACUAAGGAACCAGCAGAUUCGAAAAGGAGAAAAUAACAAUAGGAUAGAUUAUAUAGGCAUGUGACGUACUUGGCACUUGAGAUUGCUCUUCCACUUGUCCAAGUGUUUCAGAUAUUGGGAAUCAAGACCUAAUCGCAAGGAGGAUGGAACAGAACAGAAAAUUAUAACAGAAAAUUAGAAGCCAACGACUGCAAGAUUCAAGGAAGAAAUUAAGUACAAAAACCUAAAUCCUUACCCGUUCUUUUUCAAUAGAUGUUCAAUAGAGACAUAGACGACGGAGGCUCUGGUCGGAGAGAGAGCCGCGGCCAUUGUUCAGAUUUUACAGACCUGAUACUUCAUCCGGCGAGGAUGGUAGAAGGGAGAGUUGCUCUGGAUAGAAGAGAGAGGCGCGACUGAUUUUUGGGGGAGGAGACCUUCUAAUUUGUUGACCCGAUCAGUUUUGGGUUAACCCAAAAGAAGAUCC